rnacentral:rRNA from 1 species
UACGAAGGGGGCAGGCGUUGUUCGGAAUUACUGGGCAUAAAGGGUGCGUAGGUGGCUUGCUAAGUCAGUGGUGAAAUCGUCCGGCCCAACCGGACGCCUGCCAAUGAUACUGGUGAGCUCGAGUGCGUGAGGGGUGGGGGGAACGAGCAGUGUAGCGGUGAAAUGCGUAGAUAUUGCUCGGAAGGCCAAAGCCGAAGGGACCCCACUGGUACGUAACUGACACUGAGGCACGAAAGCGUGGGGAGCAAACAGG